UCGGAAGGUGCGGCUGGAUCACCUCCUUUCUAGGGAGACAUACACUAGGCCAAGCGUCUGGAUGUCACUUAGGUCGACACUUUGGCAGAUAAACGUAGCAUAAGCGCUAGCUGUAUCGCACUUUAUAUUGUUCGGUUUUGAGAAAUCUGAAAGAUUCUCAAUGUAAAAUGGGCCUAUAGCUCAGCUGGUUAGAGCGCACGCCUGAUAAGCGUGAGGUCGGUGGUUCAAGUCCACCUAGGCCCACCAUUUUGCAAUUCAUGGGGGCGUAGCUCAGCUGGGAGAGCACCUGCCUUGCAAGCAGGGGGUCAGGAGUUCGAUUCUCCUCGUCUCCACCAUUUAGCAUACUUCAAUGGAGUAUGCUACUAUACAAUGACAUAGGUCAGCGUAUUGUUCUUUGAAAACUGCAUAGAAGAAAGAUUAUAUAUGUAAGGUCUGCUUCUCAAUCGAGAAGAGGGACCGAGCACAUAGGAUAAUUCUCUAAAUAACGGUGAAGUUACAUAAGUAACAACUACAAAACGACAAUGCAUAUGCAUUUGUUCCAGUAUCAAGUAAGUAAAGAUACUAAGGGCAUAUGGCGGAUGCCUUGGCGAUACUAGCCGAAGAAGGACGCGGUAAGCUGCGAAAAGCUACGGAGAGGUGCAAGCGACCUGAGACCCGUAG
rnacentral:misc_RNA from 1 species